AUUUUACUUCUUUAAACACAUCAAAUUACUUACAACUUUUGUUGCCAUCGUUAAUUUGGCAAGAGCAUUGGACUUGUUCGAGGGAAUCGGCAUGAUCUAAAACAUAAAAAGUGUUGAUUAUUGCUCUACAAAUACAACACUUAUACUUUAUAAUGACUACUCUAACUACAACCCUGAGAAAGGUUUCAUUGUUCCGUCCUGGUCAAUGUGCCAUUUACUAUUUCUAUGGAAAAAAAAAAAAAAUCCGAUUAUAGACGCUGAUUUUCAAGCACAGACAUGAAUUAAAAAAUGUUCAUUGUAGUUUUGAGUGAUAUUGACAUGAAUUCAAUAUUUGGAUAUUUAUCAGCUCGUACUUUAGGAACAUCAGAUGGAAUAGAUAAUCAUUACUUCACUAUGAUGCCUUUAAUUUCAGUGAAAUAUAUAUUUAUCCGUAUAAAAGACACUCUUUGACAAAAAAAUACAGUCGUAAAGUUAUAAAAGAUGCCAGUUUACCACGAAUAUUUCAGAAUGUGUAAUUCAUUUGUAGUUUUUAUAAUAUUUUGUUUAAAUCAAAUUAAUAAUCAUGUAAAUAAAGAUAAAAUAAUUGAAAUAUAUGAUGAAUAAAUAUUUCA
rnacentral:lncRNA from 1 species